AGCAAAACAAACAACUUAAGCUGC
rnacentral:snRNA from 1 species